ensembl:lncRNA
GGGAGCAGAGUUGAAGUUACAAUUGAGAUUAGAGAAUUGGGGCCCUGUGAAGGGCACCCGGGCUAUUUUUCCUGCCCUGCGUUACACAGCUAGGAGGAGGUGAGCAGGGCAGUAUCAAGGCCUGGUCUGUGUUGCUCCAAGGAGCAUGAAAAGGACAGAGGGCCUGGUGUAGGAAGCGUGGUUUCCACAGGAUCCUUGCUGCCUUCAGAUUCCUCCCGGCAGCCAGGGAGCUGGGUAAGGCGGAGGCUAUUCAGCUGCCAUCUGUCCUCCUGGCUCCAGUGCCUGGCAACUGGCUGCCCGGGUCUGCUCUCUGCUCUGGAGGAGGAGGCAUUCCUCCACGGCCCAUCAGGCAGGAUGAGGAGCUGUGCCCUCGCCAGGGCCGCACCACAUGAUGGAUUCGAUGAUUAUGCCUUUCUGAUGUGGGGGCUGCUCAGUCGUGUAGCAGAACCAGUCCCAUCUGCUGUGUUUCUUCAAAGAGCUGCUGGAAGGAAAUAUCUGCACUCUGCUCAUGCUGGGGCUGGAGGUGGAAAGGAGGAUGGAAGUGAGGCCAGAUGGACAUAAAGACCGUGGGUCCAGCUCAGGGCAGCAGCUCCUAUUUGUGGAAGUGAUGCAAACGACAGGCCCUUCUCUGCGCCAUUUGCCCCCCUUGGCAUCCCUUACUGGAAGACAUGGCUGCCGCCUGCUGUGGCCCUCUGCCCGAGGUUUUUCCCUUGAAGAGGCUUCCUGUGCCUGAAGCUGCCCUGCGACAAGCAGUAGAGAGUUUAUAGCAGCUUUCGCCACCACUCCCCCUUCUCAGAAGAGAGACAAAGAGGAGGCAGUGGGUGAUCUGGGGGCUCUUGGAGCGGUGGAAGUUGGAAGUCCCUACGUGGAGCUCUCCUUGACCAGGAUGAUGAGGACCAUCCUGCCUGUCCCCCCGGAUGCGGUCUGACUAUGUUGCCCAGGCUGGUCUCAAACUCCCAGGAUCAAGGAAUCCUCCUGCCCCAGCCUUCCCAGCACCUGGGACUACAGGCACAUCCACCAAGCCAGCCUCUGUGGGGAUAUCUUUCCUGAAGUCAUCUGUGCCCUGCAAUCCAGCUGAGUGCUUCUCUGGGACAGCUGUACAGCUCCCAUCCUGAGAGCUCCCUUUGCACUCAGGGACCAACAAGCGCCUUUAUGUUUCUCCUUUGUUGCAAUCCUUCUGUCCUGGACCAUGGUUUUUUUCUCCUUCUUAAUUGGCUUCUUCCUUGUAGUGAAGCAUAAUUUUCAAGAGAUACUUGAGGAAGGGCCUAUAGGAGAUACACAAACUGAAAACCUGCACUGGGGAAAAUGUCUGUAGUCCAACUGCCCUUUGGUGGAUAGUUUUGUGGUACACAAUCUUAGAAAACUAUGGGGGCGGGGAUUUAGCUCAUUGGUUUUGCCGCCUGCCACGCAAGCGCAAGGGCCAGAGUUCGAUCCCCACUACCAAAAAAACCCAAAAAACCAGAAAACUAUGUCCCUCAGGAUUUAGCAUAUAUUGAUCUAUUGUCUUCCAGCUUCCACUCUUAUGGAUAAAAAACUUAAGUCUGUUUUGAUUUCCUUUUCUUUGCAAAUGACCUGUUUUGUUCUCUCUAGAAGCUUGAAGUCCUUUUGCUCUUUUUUUUUUCUUUCUUUUCUUUUAAUCACUAGUGUUUUGAAAUUUCACAAAGAUGUGGCUUUGUAGGAUCCUUUCCUGUUCAUUGUUAUGGAUGAUCUCAAGGAUAUCUUUUCUCAUUAGGUUUUUUUUUUUGAAACACAAUCUCACAAUAUAGCUCAGGAUACCCUUCAACUCACUAUGUAGCCCAGACUCGCCUCAAAUUCAUAGUGAUCCUUCUGCCUCAGCCUCCCAGUUCUGGGAUCAUAGGCAUGUGCCACUAGGAAAUUUUCUAGUAUUCAUUCUUUGCUUAUUUUUCCCCCUCCAUAGUCUCCUGACUCCCCCUCCUUUUCAUUCUCCUCUUCCUUUUCUGCUUCCUCUUAUUCCUUCCCUUCUUCAUCUUCAUUUUUCUCUUCCUCUUCCUUCCCCUUCCUCUCUUUGGUCUCCUUCCUCUUUCUCUUCUGCUUCUUUUUUUGAGAUGGAAACCUCACUGUGCUGCCCAGGCUGGCCUAGAUUUGCAAUCCUCCUGCCUGAAUAUCCCAAGUAGCUGGGUCACAGACAUGUUCCACUUCAAUGGCUCUGCUCUUAUUUAUCUGAUAAUCCUAUUAGUUAUGUGUUGAAACUGUACAACUGGUCUCUGAAUUUUCUUUUUUUCUCUCCCUUUUCCCUACUCUUUGUCUUUUUGUUCUAUUUUAUGAGAGAUGGGCAUAACUUUAUCUUCAACCAUCAUAUUGAAUUUAAGCAAGCAUUCUUUUCAAUUAUUUUUUACUCUUAAAAUCAC